rnacentral:rRNA from 1 species
UACAGAGGUCUCAAGCGUUGUUCGGAUUCAUUGGGCGUAAAGGGUGCGUAGGCGGCGCGGUAAGUCGGGGUGUGAAAUCUCGGAGCUUAACUCCGAAACUGCAUUCGAUACUGCCGUGCUUGAGGACUGGAGAGGAGACUGGAAUUUACGGUGUAGCGGUGAAAUGCGUAGAUAUCGUAAGGAAGACCAGUGGCGAAGGCGGGUCUCUGGACAGUUCCUGACGCUGAGGCACGAAGGCCCAGGGGGAGCAAAACGGGG